GGGGUUUCCGUUCUGGGAAGUCAAUUCCCCAAUACUGUGCUAAUAUUUUUGUUUAUAUACCGUAAGCUCGCCACAUUCAGAUUAGUUGAAACUUUUCACCGGAGGAGAGACAAUAAGUGAUUUAAUCUUCUAACAAGUCAAACGAGAGACAUAUAACAGCCUUAUAUUAGACAAGAUGGAAAAUUUGAUGAAGAGAAAGAGUGAAAUGACCAAACAAGAGUUACAAGAUUUCGAGAGAAUUUCAGCUGCCAUAACUGAGGCAUUGCCGUUGUUGACGGAAGUAAUAGACAAUAGAAAGGCCUUGGUGAGAACUCUUCGAGAAGAAGCCGACAAAUUGAAUAAAAUGGAAAAAGACGUACAGAUAAGUGAAAU